rnacentral:lncRNA from 1 species
AGUAUUGAACCUGUUGCUGCAUUAGCCGAGUUGUAUUUUGCUAGAUAGGAGAAGGAGGGUUGUCUGCUGUCUGGUAGGAGGGCUUUGUCUGUGUGCGCCUUUCUCUCUCUCCCUCUCUCGCUCUCCCUGUCUCUCGCACUCUCGCUCGCUCUCGCUCGCUCUCUCUCGCUCGCUCUCCCUUUCCCGUCUCUGUGGUUUGUAAGGUAGGUUGCAGUGUGUGUAUAUACACAACAUCAAGAGCAGGAAAAUGGACUCAUUAGGGAGGCAGGCAGUCAUUACCACUCACACUGUACUUCCAGGGAGACAGCGACUAUGAGGAGACAAACUGAGGACUGGGGAACAAGCAGCAUAAGAAAGAAGUGUUGAGAGCUGCUCUUAACCCUUUUGGAGGCCGAAGUCUAAAGACUGCCUGAAGUUACAUUGUAGAUGCUGAAAUCACUGCACCUUAAAAACAAAAAGAUUAAGCCACACUGCAUUCCUCUUCCUUGGCCAUCAGAGGUUAACCUUGCAAUUACACUAGUGAGCCGAGUUGAAAACACUCGUGGAUUUGCUGGGUCCAGCAGCAAUUUAAAGGGAGGUGUUCAGGGAAAAAUGGGGAAACUCUUCUGAAUCUGUGAGUACCAAAUUUCAUGCUUGUCUUGCAAUUUAGUGUGAACAACCGGGAAAAUUUUUGUUGGAAAGCAGGAGUAAUUCUCUUUCCAAAAUGCAGCAGCAGCAGCAUAAGAGUGAAUUGAGGCAAGUUCUUUGAAUCCUUAGGAUCCAGAUGGUCACUAAGUCCUCCAUGGAUAGCCCAAGAAAAAAUAAGAGUAGCAAUUGGUGCUGGCUGGGAUGAGCUUUUUUUAGUUACAUGAGAUUGUAGACUUUGAAGGGGAAAUAAAUGCACAAGUUUAAAACUCAUGUAUAGGAAAUAUUUUUUGUUUUCUUUUUUUAUCAAAAGUGUCAAGUGCAUCCACACAGAGAUGUUGAGCAGAUUUCUCAAGGUCCAAGUAAAUCAGUGGUCCAACUGGAAAUGGAGUGUGGGAUCAUGACUCCUAAGACUCUCCUGCCUAGGUCUUUCCAUUCCAUAAAGUAAAGGUCCAUAUUUUUAAUCCUUGAGUUUCUUGUGCUAAUAGCUUAAAAAAUCCACAAACAAACAAAAGAAGCUGCAACAAAACAACACCCACAAAACCCCCCCACUUUUAAACUUUUAGCUGCUUUUAAGUUCUGUAGGCUUGGGAUAGUCUGUCUCUGGAAUACAGAAGAACAAGGUGAGGAAAGUUUUACAUAAGCA